AUGUUUGGCCGCACGCGUGUACACUAACGGGCAACGGGNAGGAUGUGCGAGAGCGCUUCCCAAUCUCUAAAUCCGCUCGUGCUGGGGAUCGAGGCUUGCAAUUUUCCCUCUUGAACGAGGAAUACCUUGUAAGCGCGGGUCAUCAUCCCGUGCUGAAUACGUCCCUGCCCUUUGUACACACCGCCCGUCGCUCCUACCGAUUGAGUGGUCCGGUGAGGCCUUGGGAGGGAAAGAUGGACUGUGUUUCACAGACUAUCUGGCCCAAACUUGGUCAAACCUUAUCACUUAGAGGAAGGAGAAGUCGUAACAAGGUUUCCGUAGGUGAACCUGCGGAAGGAUCAUUCGUAGUGGGAUAGCGGACCGGCUGGGACACAUCUUUCUGUGUCCCCUGGACCGCUUUUCUAUAUAUCUCGUGAACAUUUGUAUUCCAGAUUUUUUUUCUAACCAAAACACAUAUGAAUAAACUACAAGAAUUCUUUACUGAAUCAGACAAAAACUCGUGACGGUGGAUGUCUUGGCUCCAGCAACGAUGAAGAACGCAGCAAAAUGCGAUACGUAGUGCGAAUUGCAGAACCCGUGAAUCAUCGAAUCUUUGAACGCAAGUUGCGCUCGCGGGUAAUCCUGCGAGCAUGUCUGUUUGAGUGUCCGCACAAAUGUGACUUUUGCUCUUUUCUAAAAGAGCUGCUGAUGGGCGUGCAGUAAAAUGCAAUCAAGUCCGUGUCCUCUGGGAUGCGGUCGCCUGAAGAACAGAGCGCUGGUUCUGGUGGAUCUUUUUGUCUCUCCUGCCUUGUGUGUGAAUCCUUCUGGGUUCCAUGGGUAGCUCAGGGGUGGGAGUCUUCGGACCACCUGCCUGUGAAUUGGACAGAGCGUGCGCUGCGAAGUAAUGUUAUAUUGAGCAGACCGCGAAGUUCGGUUAAUAGGAACGCGAAUUAAUUCGUUACCUUGAGUGAGCAUGCCGAGGAAGAGUUGUGCAGAAAACCGCUAGAACUAGCCUAAAAAACCAUAAACAUUAUUUUGGAUCUCAAAUCAGACAAGACGACCCGCUGAAUUAAGCUAUAAUUAGCGGAGG
rnacentral:rRNA from 1 species